GACGAACGCUGGCGGCGUGCUUAACACAUGCAAGUCGAACGAGACGAUUGGAAGCUUGCUUUUAAAAGUCGGGUGGCAAACGGGUGAGUAACGCGUAGACAACCUGCCUUUGAGAUGGGGACAACAGUUCGAAAGGACCGCUAAUACCGAAUGUUGUAUAUUUUCCACAUGGAAGAUAUAUUAAAGAUGGCCUCUAUUUAUAAGCUAUCGCUCAAAGAUGGGUCUGCGUCUGAUUAGCUGGUUGGUGGGGUAACGGCCUACCAAGGCGACGAUCAGUAGCCGGUCUGAGAGGAUGAACGGCCACAUUGGGACUGAGACACGGCCCAGACUCCUACGGGAGGUAGCAGUGGGGAAUCUUCCACAAUGGACGAAAGUCUGAUGGAGCAACGCCGCGUGAGUGAAGAAGGGUUUCGGCUCGUAAAGCUCUGUUGUCGGGGACGAAUGUGCAGUAUUUGAAUAAAGUACUGUAAUGACGGUACCUGACGAGGAAGCCACGGCUAACUACGUGCCAGCCGCCGCUGUAACAC
rnacentral:rRNA from 1 species